rnacentral:rRNA from 1 species
UACGUAGGGGGCAAGCGUUGUCCGGAAUCAUUGGGCGUAAAGCGCGUGUAGGCGGCUGGCUAAGUCCGCUCUGAAAGCCCGGGGCUCAACCCCGGGAGGCGGGUGGAUACUGGUCAGCUCGAGUCCGGAAGAGGAGUGUGGAAUUCCUGGUGUAGCGGUGAAAUGCGCAGAUAUCAGGAGGAACACCAAUGGCGAAGGCAGCACUCUGGGACGGUACUGACGCUGAGGCACGAAAGCGUGGGGAUCAAACAGG